rnacentral:tRNA from 2 species
CAGAAGAUAGUUUAGUAAAAAUAAUAAUUUUGGAGGUUAUAGACGUUGAGACUCUUCUGA